rnacentral:rRNA from 1 species
GCCAAAAACCUAGCCCCCACUAACCCUAUGAACCCCAAAAACUAUCUUCACUAACCAAAACAUUUUUUAAUCUUAGUAAAGGCGAUUAAAAAGUUAUUAGGAGCUAUACAGAAAGUACCGCAAGGGAAAGGUGAAAUAAAAAUGAAAUAAAUUUUAAGCACAAAAAAGUAGAGAUUACCCCUUGUACCUUUUGCAUCAUGGUUUAACUAGUCAAAUUAAGCAAAAUGACUUGCAGUUUAAUUUCCCGAAACUAAGCGAGCUACUUCAAGGCAGCUUACUGAGCGAACCCGUCUCUGUUGCAAAAGAGUGGGAAGACCUUUAAGUAGAGGUGACAGACCUAACGAGCUUAGUGAUAGCUGGUUUUUCAAGAAAAGGAUUUUAGUCCAACCUAAAGUUUUGUUAAUAUUAUAAAAUAAUAUAAUCACUCUAGAGUAAUUCAAGUAAGGUACAGCCUAUUUGAAAAAGGAUACAACCUACACAGAUGGGUAAUUAUUUUUUUUGAUAAUUAAGUAGGCCUAAAAACAUCGCCUCUUGAUCAAAUAUAAGAGGUCCAGCCUGCCCAGUGACUCUGUUUAACGGCCGCGGUAUCCUAACCGUGCGAAGGUAGCGUAAUCACUUGUUCUUUAAAUGAGGACUAGUAUGAAUGGCAUCACGAAGGUUAUACUGUCUCCUUUUUCUAAUCAGUGAAACUAAUCUCCCCGUGAAGAAGCGGGGAUAAUGAUAUAAGACGAGAAGACCCUAUGGAGCUUUAAACUAAGUUACACUUGCUUUAAAAUAAGUUCACUUCAGAGUGUAUAACAAUAAUUUUAGCUUGUUGAUUACUAGUUUUAGGUUGGGGUGACCGCGGAGCAUAAAACAACCUCCACAUUGAAUGGGGACUCCCCUGAGCUAUGAGCUACGACUCUAUGCACCAAUAUAUUGACAUUCAUUGACCCAAUAUUUUGAUCAACGAACCAAGUUACCCUAGGGAUAACAGCGCAAUCCGCUUCAAGAGCCCCUAUCGACAAGCGGGUUUACGACCUCGAUGUUGGAUCAGGGAAUCCCAGUGGUGCAGCCGCUACUAAAGGUUCGUUUGUUCAACGAUUAAAACCCUACGUGAUCUGAUUU